rnacentral:rRNA from 1 species
ACAGAGGUCUCAAGCGUUGUUCGGAUUCAUUGGGCGUAAAGGGUGCGUAGGUGGCGCCGUAAGUCAGGUGUGAAAUCUCGGAGCUUAACUCCGAAACUGCAUCUGAUACUGCGGUGCUUGAGGACUGGAGAGGAGACUGGAAUUUACGGUGUAGCAGUGAAAUGCGUAGAUAUCGUAAGGAAGACCAGUGGCGAAGGCGGGUCUCUGGACAGUUCCUGACACCGAGGCACGAAGGCCAGGGGAGCAAACGGGA